rnacentral:rRNA from 1 species
GUAACCUCAAAUCAGGUAGGGAUACCCGCUGAACUUAAGCAUAUCAAUAAGCGGAGGAAAAGAAACCAACAGGGAUUGCCCUAGUAACGGCGAGUGAAGCGGCAAAAGCUCAGAUUUGGAAUCUGGCGCCAUUGUGGCGUCCGAGUUGUAGUCUGAAGAGGGGAAUUCAAGUGUAGCUUUGGCUUAAGUUCCUUGGAACAGGACGUCAUAGAGGGUGAGAACCCCGUUAAUGGCCUUUGUCUUAUGCUUAUGUGAAUCUCCUUCAAUGAGUCGAGUUGUUUGGGAAUGCAGCUCUAAAUGGGUGGUAAAUUCCAUCUAAAGCUAAAUACUGGCAAGAGACCGAUAGCGCACAAGUAGAGUGAUCGAAAGAUGAAAAGAACUCUGAACAGAGAGUUAAAUAGUACGUGAAAUUGUUGAAAGGGAAGCACUUGUAACCAGACACGCUUGCAGCUGAUCAAUCCUGAUUUUUGAGGAUGCACUCAGUUGCUAGCGAGUCAACAUCAGUCAUGGUGACAGGAAAAAGACCAAGGAAAGGUAGCUCCUUUCGGGGAGUGUUAUAGUCCUGGGUGUAAUGCUGCCUGCUAUGAUUGAGGACCGCGCUUUGGCGAGGAUGUUGGCAUAAUGGUUUUAAGUGACCCGUCUUGAAACACGGA